UACGUAGGGUGCGAGCGUUAAUCGGAAUUACUGGGCGUAAAGCGUGCGCAGGCGGUUUUGUAAGUCGGAUGUGAAAUCCCCGGGCUCAACCUGGGAAUUGCAAUCGAGACUGCAAGGCUUGGGUGCGGAAGAGGGAAGCGGAAUUUCCGGUGUAGCGGUGAAAUGCGUAGAUAUCGGAAGGAACAUCAGUGGCGAAAGCGGCUUCCUGGUCCAGCACCGACGUUCAGGCACGAAAGCGUGGGGAGCAAACAGG
rnacentral:rRNA from 1 species